rnacentral:rRNA from 1 species
UGAAUCUGCGAAUGGCUCAUUAAACAGUUAUAGUAUACUUGAUGAUGUUUUUUAUAUGGAUAACCGUUGGGAAACCAGAGCUAAUACAUGCACCAAAAGCCUUCGGGCUGUAUUUAUUAGUUAUUGACCAACACCUUCGGGUUUUGUGAUGAUUCAUAAUAACUGAUCGAAGCGUAUUUGUAUACGCUAAAUCUUUCUAGUUUCUGCUCUAUCAGCUUGAUGGUAGUGUAUUGGACUACCAUGGCUUUCACGGGUAACGGAGAAUUAGAGUUCGAUUCCGGAGAGGGAGCCUGAGAAACGGCUACCACAUCUACGGUAGGCAGCAGGCGCGUAGAUUACCCAAUCUUGACUUAGGGAGGUAGUUACAAGAAAUAUAGUAAUUGCUUUUGCAAUGUCUAAAUGAUCUAAACAUAAACCGUUUUUCGAAUGCGAUUGGAGGGCAAGUCUGGUGCCAGCAGCCGCGGUAAUUCCAGCUCCAAUAGUGUAUCUUAAUGUUGUUGCUGUUAAAAAGCUCGUAGUUGAAUUUCUGGCAUCCUAGCUUGGCUCCGGCUCGGCAGGGGUGUCAUCCGCUCUGAAAGCUCGUACGCCUAACAGCUGCAGGUCGAAGGAGUAUUUUACUUUGAAGAAAUUAGAGUGUUCCAGGCAAGCAAUGCUUGAAUAUUACAGCAUGGAAUAAUGGAAUAGGACUAUGCAUUUCGUUGGUUAAUGCAUUAGUAAUGAUUAACAGGGACAGUUGGGGGCAUUCGUACUGGGCAGUUAGUGGUAAAAUACGUUGACCUGCUCAAGACGCACUAAUGCGAAAGCAUUUGCCAAGGAUGUUUUCAUUAAUCAAGAACGAAAGUUAGGGGAUCAAAGACGAUUAGAUACCGUUGUAGUCCUAACUAUAAACUAUACCGACUAGGGAUUGGCAGGGGGAUGUCCCCUGUCAGCACCUAAUGAGAAAUCAAAGUCUUUGGGUUCAGGGGGGAGUAUGGUCGCAAGGCUGAAACUUAAAGGAAUUGACGGAAGGGCACCACCAGGAGUGGAGCCUGCGGCUUAAUUUGACUCAACGCGGGGAAACUUACCAGGGCCAGACCUUAGUAUGAUUGACAGAUUGAUAGCUUUUUCUUGAUUUGAGGGAAGGUGGUGCAUGGCCGUUCUUAGUUGGUGGAGUGAUUUGUCAGGUUAAUUCCCUUAACAAACGAGACCUUAACCUGCUAAAUAGUCGCCCUACUUUAGUGGGGUUGGCUUCUUAGAGGGACUAUGUACUUAAAUACAUGGAAGUUUGAGGCAAUAACAGGUCCGUGAUGCCCUUAGACGUCCUGGGCCGCACGUGUGCUACACUGACUCGCGCAACGAGUGCUUACCUGAUCCGAAAGGCAAUUGGGAAACCUUGUUAAUACGAGUCGUGCUAGGGAUUGAUCUUUGCAAUUAUGGAUCAUGAACGAGGAAUUCCUAGUAAGCAUAAGUCAUCAUCUUGUGCUGAUUACGUCCCUGCCCCUUGUACACACCGCCC